GUCCCUGUAGCGCAAUGGAUAGCAUGUUGGAUUUCUAAUCCGUAGGUCGUAGGUUCGAAUCCUACCUGGGAUG